rnacentral:rRNA from 1 species
AUUGAACGCUGGCGGCAGGCCUAACACAUGCAAGUCGAGCGGAUGAAGGGAGCUUGCUCCUGGAUUCAGCGGCGGACGGGUGAGUAAUGCCUAGGAAUCUGCCUGGUAGUGGGGGAUAACGUCCGGAAACGGGCGCUAAUACCGCAUACGUCCUGAGGGAGAAAGUGGGGGAUCUUCGGACCUCACGCUAUCAGAUGAGCCUAGGUGGGAUUAGCUAGUUGGUGGGGUAAAGGCCUACCAAGGCGACGAUCCGUAACUGGUCUGAGAGGAUGAUCAGUCACACUGGAACUGAGAUACGGUCCAGACUCCUACGGGAGGCAGCAGUGGGGAAUAUUGGACAAUGGGCGAAAGCCUGAUCCAGCCAUGCCGCGUGUGUGAAGAAGGUCUUCGGAUUGUAAAGCACUUUAAGUUGGGAGGAAGGGCAGUAAGUUAAUACCUUGCUGUUUUGACGUUACCAACAGAAUAAGCACCGGCUAACUUCGUG